rnacentral:lncRNA from 1 species
UGGGCAGCACAGCUCACUGCUUGAGCAGCACACUUGAUCUCAGCUCACCCAAGGAGCCGGAAUAAAGGCCAGCUGGCUCCUGCAGCCCAGGAAGGACCAAGCGGUGGUAGCAAGAGGAGGGAUAUACUUCAAAGCUUUGGCAAACGCGGCUGCUUCGCCCUCCAGGGAGGUGCUUGCCCUCGACUAGUUAAGACAGCACUGCCUUAUUGUCAGGAGGGACUAAUUGCUGCCCUUUGAUACCACAUCACUGCCAGUGCUGCAGCACGAUUAGCUUUGCCGAGCUCUAAGAUUUUAUUUGUUCCUCUCAAACAAUCUUGUCACCUCCGCACCGGCUCCGAGCUCUCCCCUGGGCCAGGGCAGCUGGUGGAAGUGGGACGAGCUCCCGUCCGUCACCGGUCCGCAGGGAGGCUUCAGAGGCCCCCAGGUGCAGUAGUUCUGUGUCUGCUGCGAGGGACAAAUGCAGGAGCUGGAGCAAGCCCCUGUAAGGAGGCACGCUGCUCCAAACGCCUUCUGAAAUGGGGAUCUGCCUGAUACAUGUUAAGACAUCAUUAAACCAGAACACAGCAUGGCUGUAGAAUCAGAGUCGAUCCCUGCGGUGGGAGCAGUGGUGCUGCGGGCGCGGGGGCACUCCCCUCACUUUCCUAAGUCCCAUCAGUUUUUCACCUUAGCCAGGUGCUCAGCUCCGUGCUGGGGCAGUUUGGUGCUGCCUCCAAGCGCGAUGCCUCCUGCCGGACUCGGUGCUGUCGGGCACUGCCCUGCCCCAGAAGAACACGGGACUGCCCCUCACAGCACAAUUACUGAGAGGAUAAAAUCUUAUCUGGACAACUCCAGGUGCUGGACAGAAGAGCCCGGGAUGAAGGACGGGGGCUCACCAGCUGCUGUUUCUCUUCCCGAGUGAUGGAUCUCUUCCUAAUGAGCAGGAUCCUGAUUAACUCAUUGCCUCUCACAGCACCUCACCCUGGUCUGACUCCAGGAGUGGUGGCGGAGCCUUGCGAGCGCCCGGCUCCCUCCCGCAGCCAGCGCUGCUGCACCGGUGCUGGCUCUGCCCAAUGAUGUCAUAGCAGAGGGAAGGGAAAAAAGGCGACUGCGAGGCUCCUGAGCAAGUAAACCUCC